rnacentral:rRNA from 1 species
AUUGAACGCUGGCGGAAUGCUUUACACAUGCAAGUCGAACGGUAGAGGGGGCAACCCCUUGAGAGUGGCGAACGGGUGAGUAAUAUAUCGGAACGUGCCCAGUCGUGGGGAUAACGUAGCGAAAGUUACGCUAAUACCGCAUACGAUCUACGGAUGAAAGCGGGGGACUCGCAAGAGCCUCGCGCGAUUGGAGCGGCCGAUAUCAGAUUAGGUAGUUGGUGGGGUAAAGGCUCACCAAGCCAACGAUCUGUAGCUGGUCUGAGAGGACGGCCAGCCACACUGGAACUGAGACACGGUCCAGACUCCUACGGGAGGCAGCAGUGGGGAAUUUUGGACAAUGGACGCAAGUCUGAUCCAGCCAUUCCGCGUGCAGGAUGAAGGCCCUCGGGUUGUAAACUGCUUUUUGUACGGAACGAAAAGGUUUCUAUUAAUACUAGGAGCUCAUGACGGUACCGUAAGAAU